rnacentral:rRNA from 1 species
CCUACGGGGGGCAGCAGUCGAGAAUCAUUCACAAUGGGGGAAACCCUGAUGGUGCGACGCCGCGUGGGGGGAAUGAAGGUCUUCGGAUUGAAAACCCCUGUCAUGGGGGAGCAAAUUAAAAAGAUAGUACCACAAGAGGAAGAGACGGUUAACUCUGUGCCAGAAGCAGCGGUCAUACAGAGGUCUCAAGCGUUGUUCGGAAUCAGUGGGCGUAAAGUGUGCGUAGGCUGUGUCGUAAGUCGUGUGUGAAAGGCGCGGGCUCAACACGCGGACGGCACAUGCUACUGCGAGACUGGAGUCGUGGAGGGGGAACCGGAAUUCUCGGUGUAGCAGUGAAAUGCGUAGAUAUCGAGAGGAACACUCGUGGCGAAGGCGGGUUCCUGGACAUUAACUGACGCUGAGGCACGAAGGCCAGGGGAGCGAAAGGGAUUAGAUACCCGAGUAGUC